rnacentral:lncRNA from 1 species
CCCCCCCCCCCCCCCAACCCAAACCCAUACCCGAAAAAACAUUAUAAAAAUCCCACUGAAAUUACCAGUGAGGCUAUGAACAGAAGACGUCGUCAUAAUGCUGAUUCUUGCACGCGGACCUGGCAUAGCAGAGACCAGAAUGUACGUUCUUAAUACUGAUCCGUACACAAACAUACUCGUAAAAACACAUAAUUUCACGAAUACAAAACUAAAAUUUUGAGAAGAACCCAAGCUCAAUCGUCGUACUGUGUGUGAGCUUUUAUUUCGAGCACUUUUAUCAAACGAGUUGAUAAAAUGUAACUCAAAGUCAUCAAUUAAUUUUAAUCCAAGUUUCAUGGACCAACAACUUUUAUCAACACAUUUCGUCAAAUUUUAUCAAAAUCUGCUAAAAAUCCAAUUUUUAGCAAAACAAAGGAUAAGCUUACAAUAAAAAAACUAGAAAACCCACGAUUUACUCUCAAUAAACUUAUCGAUAAUAAUCAGCUCAAUAGUAAUUUCAAUUGAAUCGAAGCGGCAGAAACAAGAUUUAAAAUUCAACUAAUUUUAGCUCAUAAAUUUCUUUAACACACUCUCGGUCAAAAUUUAAUAGAAAAGCGGAAAAAAUUUAAAAAGCAAAGCGGCAUUGCUUGAUUGAAUACGAACACUUUCAAUGCAAUUUUAAUAUAUUUUGAAAGACUCUUAUUUUUCAAUAAGAUCUGCCCCUUAAGGUUCGCGGACUAGGAAUUGAACUUUUUACCUGGGGGAAGAAAAUUCAAAGUGCCAGUGAUCUUCUGAGCUUUUCUCUCUGUGUAUUUCUUCUUCUCUCGCUAGAAACUCCGGAGUUAGGGAUAUUUUUCUCGGUGGCUAAAUUGCUAAAUAGAAAAAUUGUUGCCUGCGGCUGAGGUUGGAAGCAACUUUACU